GACGAACGCUGGCGGCGUGCUUAACACAUGCAAGUCGAACGGAAAGGCCCUGCUUUUGUGGGGUGCUCGAGUGGCGAACGGGUGAGUAACACGUGAGUAACCUGCCCUUGACUUUGGGAUAACUUCAGGAAACUGGGGCUAAUACCGGAUAGGAGCUCCUGCUGCAUGGUGGGGGUUGGAAAGAUUCGGCGGUUGGGGAUGGACUCGCGGCUUAUCAGCUUGUUGGUGGGGUAGUGGCUUACCAAGGCUUUGACGGGUAGCCGGCCUGAGAGGGUGACCGGCCACAUUGGGACUGAGAUACGGGCAAGACUCCUACGGGAGGCAGCAGUGGGGAAUAUUGCACAAUGGGCGGAAGCCGGAUGCAGCAACGCCGCGUGCGGGAUGACGGCCUGCGGGUUGUAAACCGCUUUCGCCUGUGACGAAGCGUGAGUGACGGUAAUGGGUAAAGAAGCACCGGCUAACUACGUG
rnacentral:rRNA from 1 species